rnacentral:rRNA from 1 species
AUACAGGGGGUGCGAGCGUUAAUCGGAAUUACAGGGCGUAAAGAGUACGUAGGCGGUUGCUUAAGUCAGAUGUGAAAGCCCCGGGCUCAACCGGGGAACUGCAUUUGAAACUGAGUGACUAGAGUUUAAGAGAGGGGAGUAGAAUUCCGGGUGUAGCGGUGAAAUGCGUAGAGAUCCGGAGGAAUACCAGUGGCGAAGGCGGCUCCCUGGCUUAAAACUGACGCUGAGGUACGAAAGCGUGGGUAGCAAACAGGAUUAGAAACCCUAGUAGUCC